rnacentral:rRNA from 1 species
AGGACGAACGCUGGCGGCGUGCUUAACACAUGCAAGUGGAGCGACGAACCGGGCUUCGGCCCGGGGCAAAGCCGCGAACGGGUGAGUAACACGUGGGUAACCCACCCCGAUGACCGGGACAACCCGAGGAAACUCGGGCUAAUACCGGAUGAGCUCUUCGCCCUUGAGGGAGAAGAGGAAAGAUAGCUUCGGCCUUCGCAUCGGGACGGGCCCGCGGCGCAUUAGCUUGUUGGCGGGGUAACGGCCUACCAAGGCGACGAUGCGUAGCUGGUCUGAGAGGACGAUCAGCCACACUGGGACUGAGACACGGCCCAGACUCCUACGGGAGGCAGCAGUGGGGAAUCUUGCACAAUGCGCGAAAGCGUGAUGCAGCAACGCCGGCGUGGGGAAGACGGCCUUACGGGUUCGUAAACCCCUUUCGAGUUUGGACGAAGUCGUUCGCCGGUUAAUAGCGGCUGGAGUGACGGUACC